AUUACUCCUACGGGAGGCAGCAGUAGGGAAUCUUCCACAAUGGGCGAAAGUCUGACGGAGCAACGCCGCGUGAGUGAUGAAGGUUUUCGGAUCGUAAAGCUCUGUUGUUAGGGAAGAACAAGUGCCGUUUGAAUAAGGCGGCACCUUGACGGUACCUAACCAGAAAGCCACGGCUAACUACGUGCCAGCAGCCGCGGUAAUAAU
rnacentral:rRNA from 1 species